GCAAGUGUUUCACUUUCAUUUCAAAACAAGUAAAAGCUAUCAAGUGCAUAAAGGGGAAAAAAAGGAAACAUUUUCUUUCACAGAUCGGCAACUCCAGAACGAACGGCAGGACUGGCUUCUCCCACCGUGUCUCAGACAGUCCCGAGAGCCACUGCAGGAUGCAGGGAAACCUUCAUGGCUAGAGGUAAGAAGCAGGUGCCUUGUGCUCUGUCACCCACAACUUACAUAAAACCGGAUCAGACCACCCACAGCGGUGUCUGUGAAGCAAUGCAGACUUGGCACCGAGAUGCGCACAUUUUUUUCCCCUUUAUAAGAGAUAAAGACUCUGAGCCUCAGGGAGGCUUGGAAGAAUGCAAUGAGGUCACUCCACAUCUGUUGAUGUCAGGGCCUGAACCCACAUCAUCUGACUCCCAUUGGCACCCCUGGUCUCGCACCUCCACCAACUGACACUCGUGACUAAAGAGGAAUAGAAACCUACUUGAACAUUUUCCGUGAUCUGGAGAUUAACCAAACCUGGUUGUGUAAUCUUCUAGAAAGAAAUAUAUAGCUCUGUAUCUCAGCUCGCAAAUAGUUUCUGAGUAUCUGCUAGAAGCAAAGCAUUGCUAUAGGGCCCAAGGGACCUGAAAAUAAAUGAGAGACGGCUUCCAGUGAGCCAGCAACUUCCAAAGCAUGUGUCUAAUAGAAGGAAAAUUCCCCAGUCAACCAGAGCAAAGGAACUCUACAGGGAAGGCCGUGGGAUCGCUGUGUAGACGAACAGCAUGAGGUGGGGAAGUGUCUUGGGAGCCCUCCCAUUUCAUACCAGGUGGAGCUUUGGCAAUUACGACAAGAACUUAAGGUCAGAGGAAAACUCAGAAGAAGAGAAUAAAAACCACACUUUCUGACAAAAGAGCUGUAAACCCAAACGGACCCUUCAUUCCACGAGUUGCUUUUGGUCGUGAUGUUUUGCCAGAGCACGGAAAAUUAACCAAUACAAGGACAGAUGAUCACUUUUGCCACUGCGAUGGUGGAUGACAUGGCGUCACAGAACAACUCGGAAUAUCAGGGUUAAAGCACACGGUAGGAUUUAAAUGGAAUGGGACCACCUUGGAUAUGCUGGGGCUGGACCAAGGGAAGAGAAUUGAUAGACCACAUCCUAUAAACCUAAACACCAAAGGGAGGAGGACUGUGGCAUUUCACUAGAUGACAACUCCACAUGAGUCUCUGCCCCUGAGGACCUUCAGUGGGACGAGUUUGGAGACAGAAGAUAGUCCACUGAUGGCUCUGCUUCUGAUGGGAUGUGACCAGCUGCAUCAAGUUCCUGCCAUCUUGACAUUCCCACAGCGAUGGACAGUGACCUAAAGUCGUGAAUCCGAUAAACCCUCCUCCUUUAUGUUGCUUUUGUCAGGGUAUCAUGUCACAGCAACAGGAAAGGAAGCUACGACAGCCUCUCAGUACCGCCUCCCUGGAACGUUCUCUGUCCUCUGACUUCAUCUGUCCAACCUGUGUGUGUCCUGCUAUCUGUGGCUUCUUUCAGCCGUAGAGUCUUUGUUGUUUAGCUCCAGGUGGGUAUUUCCGUAAAGUGGCGAGUGUCUGCUGAGAGUUGCAUCUGCCUGUCGUGCAUAGUGUGAGCAGCCCGCAUGUGGAACUAGGAGGACUGCAAACAGACUAGAAGAAAAGCGAGGCACAUUUGCUGCAAGUGUGGUCUCAGCACCGUGUGAUGCGGCUCCCCUUUGCAGAACUUAAGGAGGAGGAGAAGCUUUCAGUUAUGAAGACCUGGUGUUUGCCAAAGGAAAUGCUGAAGGGAGUUUUGCUGCUCAGUCAUGGUGUAUAAACUCCGUGAGUGACAUCAGGGUUUGUGGAAGUAUUAGGGUUGGGUGGCAAAAGUUUCUCUACAUUAUCAAGAACCUUGAGGAAGCAGCUGAACUGAACCCUAAAGUUGAGACUUCGACUCCCUUGACAGUGUUAGGUGCUGAGUACCUGCCAUCUACAUCCUGUCCAAAUGCAGAGAACACUUGACCAACUGAUGUUAUCUACAACGCAGCCAUUUUACCUGAAGCUUAGUGGACAUCAGAGGAGGGGGAAUAGAAAGAUCAUAAAAGCCAGAGAACCAGAGUGUCUGCUGUGAGAUAAUGUCUUCUAGUCAUGACAAAGAAAUUGUAGCCAUGAAAUCUUAAAAAAUAUGGUUACCUAAACAAGAUCUGCACAAUGACUAUACCAGUUGCACACCAGUAUAGAUGGGGGAAAGUCUCACAAGGCUGCAUCUCAGUAUGAGGAGCUGAAGGAAUUAGUGGCUAAUAAAAUAGGGAGAAUUAGAAUUCUCCAGGGACAAACACUCUAAUAGGUUAUCUAAUCCAAUGUGGUCAGCCC
rnacentral:sRNA from 1 species